rnacentral:rRNA from 1 species
UACACUCCUGCGGGAGGCAGCAGUGGGGAAUUUUGGCCAAUGGGCGAAAGCCUGAUCCAGCCAUGCCGCGUGCAGGAUGAAGGCCUUCGGGUUGUAAACUGCUUUUGUACGGAACGAAACGGCCUUUUCUAAUAAAGAGGGCUAAUGACGGUACCGUAAGAAUAAGCACCGGCUAACUACGUGCCAGCAGCCGCGGUAAUACGUAGGGUGCAAGCGUUAAUCGGAAUUACUGGGCGUAAAGCGUGCGCAGGCGGUUAUGUAAGACAGUUGUGAAAUCCCCGGGCUCAACCUGGGAACUGCAUCUGUGACUGCAUAGCUAGAGUACGGUAGAGGGGGAUGGAAUUCCGCGUGUAGCAGUGAAAUGCGUAGAUAUGCGGAGGAACACCGAUGGCGAAGGCAAUCCCCUGGACCUGUACUGACGCUCAUGCACGAAAGCGUGGGGAGCAAACAGGAUUAGAAACCCGGGUAGUCCCAU